ensembl:lncRNA
CCCCCGUUGUGCACAACAUUUGGUCAUUCCCAUGUCACCUGCAGAAGCUGUACUCCCUGUCACGACAAAAAGAAUCCAUUGAUGUUGAAGGUCAGCGAUCCAAUUCCUUCACCAGAAUGAAGGUCGGCGAUCCAACUCCUGCACCACAAAGAAGGUCGGCGAUCCAACUCCUGCACCAGAACAACGAACCCUCGAGGACAGUCCGCGGCCACGUCACUCCCGGCGGCAGAAUUCAGCGCUGAGCUGCAGACACAGCUUUCCCCUUCAAAGCCGAUUCACCUCACACAGUCCGGUCCGCUAUUACACAAAGUAUACAUUUCAGACAAUACGCUGGAAAGUCUCCGGUUUGGAUCCCGUUUUCCUUGCUUUACAGAGAGCUACCAUUACGUUUACCUCCCUCUACAACCAGCAUGGAAAAGAACGUGUACAGCGCAGUCCUGCUGCCACCUAGAGGAAUUUACCACCAACCGUUUCAUCACUGCUGCAAAACUGUCGAAAAUAACAACAGCUCAUCAUGAAAAGAAAUAAAUGACUUUACCAGGAAUUUUAUGUCUGAAACAGUGCAAUAGGAAACUCAUACCAUCUGGAUUAUUCACUCAAUAUUAUUCUAUCCACAUGGAAUGUCCCACAUAUUUUAUACUUAACAAAUCCAUACUAAUUUAUUAAAACAAACUCUUAAACAUGUGCAAAACAUAUGAACUAUUUUAAAAAAUUUCAAGCUAGAAAUUUC